AUUGGAUUGCAACAUCUCUUGGACAAGCCAAUCAGCGAAGGCUCCGGAGAAAGCAGAGCUGGAUGACGGCUUUGAAAUGGGGUACCAGCAGGACAGCGAAAUGGUGCCUUCGUGACCGUUCGACUGUUUGCAGUUGGCAUUUCACUGAUAACUGAUCCAGGGCUAUUGCCUUCACCGAUAAAACGCCAGUACGUCACUCCCGUGACGUACAGGCAAUUUGGCAAUUUGGUGCCGUAGAGGCCUCCUGCGUUGAAGCUUCGAACAUAUCAUGGCGCCCUCCGGUGGUGGACGCUAGAGUGUCCGAAUAGUACAAGUCCCACGGCCCCGCACAAUGACAAACCUGUUCAGGUGGCUGUUUGCCUCUGCAAGCGGCUAUUAUUUGUGCGUUUGUGUGGUCACGACUCAAAAUGUGCCACCCACGUAGUCAUCACCACACAUCGUUACCCCGGAGACCCGAGCUCGCUGCAAGCUAGUAAUUCUUCCUUCGUCCAAGCACGUCGGGACCGGGAGCAAGAAGCGCAGCCAACGUCUCCAUCGAUGGUACUGUUGCAUUGUGAACUGUCAAAAACAAGAAGGGCUUAACCCCGGAGUAAACUUUUACAGAUUCCCAUUGAAACCGUGCAAAGUCGAGCGGAGGGAAUGAUACUAGCCGCCCAGCACACUGAGUAAGCUCGCCGUCCAGGUUGUUCUGCUAAACAUGGCCACUCAAUCAAGCGGCCGUGGCAGGCAUUGAAACGUGUGUCGUGCAAAUUUUACGAACAUGAAAACGCUAUACUGUCCGACCAGUGGAGUGAUCUGAUUAAACCACAUGUUUUGCAAUACGAGAUCAGCAAUAAAAGAGCUCGAGAAGCAGCAUGCAGUGGGAACCCCUUGCUCGAUUGACAGACGGCCGGUCGCCGCUCGAUCGCUUGCGUCUGCUUUUGAGCGUUUUUGAGGUUGGUCAUCAGCUGAUCAUGUUGGCUGUAUGGUGCGACUGCAGUUUGGGAGUUUUUGCUUACAGUUACAAGGCACAUUGCUGUAUCUCAUAUUGCUUGCCUCAAGCUCGACAUCAUAGGAAGCUCGCUGUUCUUCCAAGUGACAGCGCUUCUACACCAUAUUUACGGCUUCUUGUACGGUAUAGACGCAGCUUGCAGUAGCAUGCAUUGCUGAGUUUCUUCUCUUUAGGAAGUGUUGAGGAGUGUAAGAAGCUUUCCACGUUAGAAGUUGGCUUGAUUCCGCGCCGUAAAACAAUCACAAAGGGAAAAAAUUCAUACUGCCGGCUAACGUUUUCACGCGGGACAAAUUCAAAUGCGCAAGUUCGUACUAACCAAUAUCAAUAAACAAAUCGUAGAAGGCGUUACAAGCCAGUGUUUCCCAGUGCCGUAUAUGUAGAGAGUUUGGCCAUUUGUUGGGAAGUAUAGGAGACAAACAAGGAGACGCCAUUGGCCGAAAGAAGGCUGGGCAUGUUCCAGGGCAUCUUCACAAACUCGAAUGUGGCCAUUCAGGAGCCGGAAAUAAUACCCUGGUGGU
rnacentral:misc_RNA from 1 species